rnacentral:lncRNA from 1 species
UUUUUUUGUUUUUGUACUGGUUCUUUCUCCUAAAAUAUGCCAUGUGUCCCGACGGGGCAAAUAUAGAACUUUGAUGUACGAAAGGAGUAAACUUGGAUGGAAAGUAUAAUGAGGGAUAGGAUUGAACAAUAAAUAAAGUCUAGGGAUAUAUCAGGCCCUUCCGUAUUCAGAAUGUACCACGUGUCACGGUCGUUAAAAUAGGAAAUAUAUAGAACUUUGAUGGAUGGCAGGGGUAAACUUUGAUGGAAAGUAUAAAGGGGGACAGGAUUGAACAAUAAAACAAAGUAGAGGGAUAUAUCAGGCCAGAUGGGCUUAAAACUUCUUCUUUUUUUCAAAUACAAGACAUGAAGUACUAUAACGAAAGACUCAAAACUCUUGACUAGACUAACAAACUUGAUACUAUUGUACUAGACUAAUUAUUAAAAAAUAACAUAAAAUAGACUAAAAAAUGAAAAAUUUCCUCAAGCAGCUCGUGCAUGCAAUGGUCUUGACUAGAAUUGUCCUGUGAUAUUUGUCACGCUCAAAAUAUAGCAAAUUGGUCCAUACCUGAAUGGUAAAAAUAAGAUUAAAUAGAGUUAGCGACUCAAGACACAUGUGACGCCACGACACCUUCUAUUGGACACAUGCAAGGCAUGUUUAAGGCCAUUUUUUCAAAAUGACUUACGCAGCCAAAAUGUGAUUAUUAGUGCAAACUCAACAAAGAUGACCUCAAAGACAUGGACAUACCUCCCUAAUGCGUAUAUGGAUUCAAACUCCCAAUAAUUAUGGCCCAAAAUUAGUUUGUAAAAAUGAUCCAUUUUGCAAAAACGGCCAAUAUGGCCAAAAGUGGCUAAAGAUGCAAACUCAAAAAGGACGAAUCUUAAAAGUAAUAUGACACCUAGUUGUGGACUCAAAAUUCAAAUACACGGGUAAUUGAAUCACUUUUGCGAAAAUGAACUCAUUUACAAGAAUGGCCGGUGUGACUAAAAGUGGAUAAACAUGCAAGAUUUGGCUAAGACCCCGCAAAAUCAAGAACCAAAGACUUACUAGGAAGACCGGACCCCAUGUGGAUUGCCUACAUAUACCGCCCCGAAAGACGAGAAUCAGGUAUGCGUAGUUCGGAAAGAUUGGAUAUGGGAAAAAGCUUUAAAAUGACACUAAUUUGGAAAAAAUAUAUUCUUUUAUCUUUUUUGAAAAAUGAUGGAAAAUGUAAAAUCUUUUCGAAUUUUUUCUCUCUUUUUUUUUUGAAUUUUUGGAAAAUAAUAAAAAAGUGUAAAAUCUUUUUGGAUUUUAUUUUUAUUUUUUUCUUUUUGUUAUUUGAAAAAAAUAGUGAAAGAAAAAUGAUAACUGGCCUUUCUUGAUUCAAUUUAUAUUUCACCCUCAAAUAUCUUUGGUCCGCCAAAUGACCUUUUUACCCUCAAGAUGCAACAUGUAUCACAUAGGGAUGAUUGAAUGUCUUUUCGGGCCACGGGCCCAUUUUUGACAAAAUUUGGAUAUGCUUCCUACAAAGGGACACGAUGCCUGGGACUAAGCCCUACUAGGUUCAAAUGACAUGAUGCAAAUAAGAAUGACUUAAAUGCUGACCUAAAUUUGUGGUUCACUAACAAGGCAAUUCGGGGAGACACGUGGUCGAUAGUGGCUGCUCUAGUUGUCCGCCCACUCCACGCUCUCACGCCAUCCCCCCAAAGACACAAGUGACUCAAAAAUGUCCCUGUACGCUCAAACGUAUUCCGGAAGACUUGUUGUAGAAAAAAGACCCGAAUUAUGCAAAUGAUGAAAAAUUAUAAAGCAGUAACAGAUAAAGGAAAAACUGUAAACAAAUAACCAAUUAGCAAAUAAUAAAAUGACAUAAAAUAAUAAUCAAUAAAGCAAACAAAACACAUAAAAACAUCAAUCGAACAUCCUAAAAAGCCAUCAAAAUCAAGUACUAGCGCAAACCUGCAACUCCCCAGCAGAGUCGCCAGAGAUGUCGCACCCCUUUUUUUACAAACCUUAACCCUCUUAAAAUAAAUAAAAAGAUUUAUGAAGCUCAAAAGGAUUUUAAACUAAAAGGUGACAAAAUUUAGGGGUGCUUAUCGGGCGGAUUGGGCGGCUUUUUACUCUUAACGGUUUGGCUUAACGGUUANNNNNNNNNNNNNNNNNNNNNNNNNNNGGGCGGAUUGGGCGGCUUUUUACUCUUAAUGGUUUGGCUUAACGGUUAUCGGCUUUUAAAUGUAUUAAUCUGUUAGCCACCCGAUAAGAUAUCAGGCGGAUUGGUAUCGGGUUAGCUCUUAUAGGGCGGUUAAUGGGCGGUUGAUCGGCGUAACAUACAUGUUCACUAAAUAUCUCUUAUUCUCCUCGUCUUAGAAAUAAUGAAUUGCCAUAAAAAAUAAUAUUUUAGAGGCAAUAUCAUGCAUUCGGUUUUCUUUGCCAGAGCCACUCAAUUUGAUUUCCGUGAUUAGGAAAUUAGCUUUACCAUAUCCGGCAUGUUGCCAAGCAGGAGGAUUACAACUAAAAAUAAAUUAAAAAUAGAACCAAAAAAUUUCUAAAUCCCGAGAAUAAAAAUGCUUAGAAGUAGAAAUAAACUUUUGUUAAUCAUUUUCAAGUGUUUUCGUUUUUUAUAUUUAAUAUAUAUAAAAAUAAAUAAAUAAAUAAAUAAAUAUAUAUAUAUAUAUAUAUAUAUANNNNNNNNNNNNNNNNNNNNNNNNNNNNNNNNNNNNNNNNNNNNNNNNNNNNNNNNNNNNNNNNNNNNNNNNNNNNNNNNNNNNNNNNNNNNNNNNNNNNNNNNNNNNNNNNNNNUAUAUUUUUAUAUUCUUAACAGGUUAACGGAUUAGCCGUUAAGAAAAUUGAAUAAUCCAUCUCCAAACCGAUAAGCCGUUAAUAAAAAAAAUUCAAUGUUCCCCGUUCGUUAAGCCGUAACCAGUAAGUUGUUAAGCUUCGGUUUGGAUCAAUUUUCGGUUUCGGAUUGGUUUUGAACACCCCUAGACAAAAUUGUAUGUUCAAAAGGAUUAACUCAGAGUUGCCGCCUAACAUUUGACUUCGAUGUGUCAGGUCACCAUUUUUUCUAAAAGUAAUUUUUUUCUUUCAAACAUUUGAGAUUCUAAAACUAACUAUGCACUAGAUUCGGGUAAGGGGGUUCAUUUGACUCGGGUAGAAGGUGUUAGACAUUUUUCAAGUCCCGUAACUAGUACAGUUGCGUACUCGAUCUAGUUGGCUUUUAAAACAUUCAAAUUGAGGUAAAACGCACAAAAAUUGAAAUAAACACACAAAAGGCUAGAGGUCGUCCCCACUUAAUAAAAGAAAAUAGAUAUAAAAAUGAAACAAGAAUAAAAGUAUUACGAAUAUGCUUUCGCCCCCAAUUACAAAAUACGUCGGGGCAUUUCCCGAUGUAAAAAUAUAUAAAUCCUUCGGGACCUUCCCAGGAUUAAUUUAACUAAGGGAAUAACCUCUCGUCUCGAAACUAACAAAAAUCAUAUGACUUACCGAACAAAAUGUAGUUGGCCUAAACAUAUUACUAGCAGGUAAACAGAAAUAAGAAGGUAAAAAAUGUGACAAAGAGUACAGAACAUACAAAUUGCAUUUUUCAAUCUCAAGUUCCCAACCCCACUACUAGAUGUAGUACUUCUAAUUCAUGCCACUAAUGUCCUUUAACUUAAUUAUUUUAACUAACCUAGCAGCCAAUCAUUCAAACUCCAAACAAAGCUCAAUUCUAUGUAUUAAGAGGAUAAUUUCAUACUCGACAGAAAUUUCAUCAUCACAAACAAAUUGAACAAACUUCCAAAUAUAUUGAACAAACUAAUGAGAUGGAGGAAAAGAAUAGACCUUCGGGCGAGUAAAACUUUUCUUAGUAACAGAUUGAUGAACCGGAAUUCAACACGACGACCAAACUACGAACAAAAUAAGCAAACAGGACACGAACAGACCUCAAUGGCGGCCGAAAUUGCGAAUUAACUUCAAGCAACCUCUUCACUUUAAUCGAACUUCCUGGUUUUAAAAUAAGAAAUAAGAAGAAGAAGAUAGAAUUUGAAAUGAAAAUCAAAAAGAUUUAAAUCGGAAAUCAUAAUAGGAAAAUCCCGUUUGUUCCCUUCCUCUAUUUUCGACCCUCUAUCUCUGUACUUUUCUAUCUUCAAUGUUUGUUGCUGCUAGCUGGAUGGUGGUCGCUAGGCUUUUGGUGGUGAAGAUGGUCGUUGGGGUGGUGUCGCGGAUGCUGGCUAGUCGGAUGGGGUGAAGGGGUGUUAGUUGCGAGGGUUUCGUGAAGGUGUAGGAGAUAGAGAUCAGGGAUCGUUGGUUGAAGAGUGACCGGCGGCGAAUGGGAGGUGGGCUAGCGGCGCUUGGUUUAUUAUUUUGUGGUCUUAGGAUAGGGGUGCUGCUAGUCUUCCCCGAGUAUUAUUAGCUGAUCUCUCCUUUGUAUCUAGGGUCUCCCGUUUUCUUUUAAGAAGGUCUUGUUUAGAGUUCAAAAACAACAACAACUCAGUAUAAUCUCACACAAUGGGGUCUGAGGAGUGUAGUAUGUACGCAGACCUUAUCUCUACCCUGAGAUAGAGAGGCUGUUUCCAAAUAGAGAUCCCGACAUCCUUCCCUCCAAGAACUUCUCACCUUGCUCUUGGAAAGACUCGAACU